UUCCCUAAACCUAGGGUCGGCGGUCAGGCAGGAUGACACUGAACCCCGAGCUGCCCACGGGUGAAAUCUUCGGCCUGAUGCUGACUGACAGACAAAGAAACAGAGAUAGGAGGUUCAGGGGGACACCUGUGGAUCUGGGUUGUAGACUUUGGUCUGAUCUGGACGAGUGAGCUCUGGUCUGACUGAGCUGAAGAGCUUAAAUCUGAUUGCCUAAUGGGGAAGAAAUUAGAACAUGCUGAACUACAUCUAAACUACCAUCAAAGAACCUGGACUUAACCCUAACUGCACCUGACCUACAUCUACACUGAACCCUACACCUAGCCUAAAACUGGAUCAGAUGUAGACAGAAACUGGGCCCAGCCAAGCCUGGUCUGCACCUGGACUCCAGUCCUUCUGCCAGACUCUGGUUUUCUCUGGAGCUGGAUCAGGUCUGACAGCUGUCUCAGGGGGCGGUAUGUCC